UGUGUGUUAGUGGAAGCGUCUGGAAAGGCGCGCGAUACAGGGUGACAGCCCCGUACACAAAAAUGCACAUGCUGUGAGCUCGAUGAGUAGGGCGGGACACGUGGUAUCCUGUCUGAAUAUGGGGGGACCAUCCUCCAAGGCUAAAUACUCCUGACUGACCGAUAGUGAACCAGUACCGUGAGGGAAAGGCGAAAAGAACCCCGGCGAGGGGAGUGAAAAAGAACCUGAAACCGUGUACGUACAAGCAGUGGGAGCACGCUUAGGCGUGUGACUGCGUACCUUUUGUAUAAUGGGUCAGCGACUUAUAUUCUGUAGCAAGGUUAACCGAAUAGGGGAGCCGAAGGGAAACCGAGUCUUAACUGGGCGUUAAGUUGCAGGGUAUAGACCCGAAACCCGGUGAUCUAGCCAUGGGCAGGUUGAAGGUUGGGUAACACUAACUGGAGGACCGAACCGACUAAUGUUGAAAAAUUAGCGGAUGACUUGUGGCUGGGGGUGAAAGGCCAAUCAAACCGGGAGAUAGCUGGUUCUCCCCGAAAGCUAUUUAGGUAGCGCCUCGUGAAUUCAUCUCCGGGGGUAGAGCACUGUUUCGGCAAGGGGGUCAUCCCGACUUACCAACCCGAUGCAAACUGCGAAUACCGGAGAAUGUUAUCACGGGAGACACACGGCGGGUGCUAACGUCCGUCGUGAAGAGGGAAACAACCCAGACCGCCAGCUAAGGUCCCAAAGUCAUGGUUAAGUGGGAAACGAUGUGGGAAGGCCCAGACAGCCAGGAUGUUGGCUUAGAAGCAGCCAUCAUUUAAAGAAAGCGUAAUAGCUCACUGGUCGAGUCGGCCUGCGCGGAAGAUGUAACGGGGCUAAACCAUGCACCGAAGCUGCGGCAGCGACGCUUAUGCGUUGUUGGGUAGGGGAGCGUUCUGUAAGCCUGUGAAGGUGUGCUGUGAGGCAUGCUGGAGGUAUCAGAAGUGCGAAUGCUGACAUAAGUAACGAUAAAGCGGGUGAAAAGCCCGCUCGCCGGAAGACCAAGGGUUCCUGUCCAACGUUAAUCGGGGCAGGGUGAGUCGACCCCUAAGGCGAGGCCGAAAGGCGUAGUCGAUGGGAAACAGGUUAAUAUUCCUGUACUUGGUGUUACUGCGAAGGGGGGACGGAGAAGGCUAUGUUGGCCGGGCGACGGUUGUCCCGGUUUAAGCGUGUAGGCUGGUUUUCCAGGCAAAUCCGGAAAAUCAAGGCUGAGGCGUGAUGACGAGGCACUACGGUGCUGAAGCAACAAAUGCCCUGCUUCCAGGAAAAGCCUCUAAGCAUCAGGUAACAUCAAAUCGUACCCCAAACCGACACAGGUGGUCAGGUAGAGAAUACCAAGGCGCUUGAGAGAACUCGGGUGAAGGAACUAGGCAAAAUGGUGCCGUAACUUCGGGAGAAGGCACGCUGAUAUGUAGGUGAAGCGACUUGCUCGUGGAGCUGAAAUCAGUCGAAGAUACCAGCUGGCUGCAACUGUUUAUUAAAAACACAGCACUGUGCAAACACGAAAGUGGACGUAUACGGUGUGACGCCUGCCCGGUGCCGGAAGGUUAAUUGAUGGGGUCAGCGCAAGCGAAGCUCUUGAUCGAAGCCCCGGUAAACGGCGGCCGUAACUAUAACGGUCCUAAGGUAGCGAAAUUCCUUGUCGGGUAAGUUCCGACCUGCACGAAUGGCGUAAUGAUGGCCAGGCUGUCUCCACCCGAGACUCAGUGAAAUUGAACUCGCUGUGAAGAUGCAGUGUACCCGCGGCAAGACGGAAAGACCCCGUGAACCUUUACUAUAGCUUGACACUGAACAUUGAGCCUUGAUGUGUAGGAUAGGUGGGAGGCUUUGAAGUGUGGACGCCAGUCUGCAUGGAGCCGACCUUGAAAUACCACCCUUUAAUGUUUGAUGUUCUAACGUUGACCCGUAAUCCGGGUUGCGGACAGUGUCUGGUGGGUAGUUUGACUGGGGCGGUCUCCUCCUAAAGAGUAACGGAGGAGCACGAAGGUUGGCUAAUCCUGGUCGGACAUCAGGAGGUUAGUGCAAUGGCAUAAGCCAGCUUGACUGCGAGCGUGACGGCGCGAGCAGGUGCGAAAGCAGGUCAUAGUGAUCCGGUGGUUCUGAAUGGAAGGGCCAUCGCUCAACGGAUAAAAGGUACUCCGGGGAUAACAGGCUGAUACCGCCCAAGAGUUCAUAUCGACGGCGGUGUUUGGCACCUCGAUGUCGGCUCAUCACAUCCUGGGGCUGAAGUAGGUCCCAAGGGUAUGGCUGUUCGCCAUUUAAAGUGGUACGCGAGCUGGGUUUAGAACGUCGUGAGACAGUUCGGUCCCUAUCUGCCGUGGGCGCUGGAGAACUGAGGGGGGCUGCUCCUAGUACGAGAGGACCGGAGUGGACGCAUCACUGGUGUUCGGGUUGUCAUGCCAAUGGCACUGCCCGGUAGCUAAAUGCGGAAGAGAUAAGUGCUGAAAGCAUCUAAGCACGAAACUUGCCCCGAGAUGAGUUCUCCCUGACUCCUUGAGAGUCCUGAAGGAAC
rnacentral:rRNA from 1 species